rnacentral:rRNA from 1 species
UGAAUACGAGAUGCUACGGCGUCGAAGCAGUCUAUGUCAUACUUCCAAGAAAAGCUUGCACUGUCAUAAACAAAUAAUGCCUGUACCAUAACCGACACAGGUGGGUAGGUAGAGUAUACUAAGGGGCGCGAGAUAACUCUCUCUAAGGAACUCGGCAAAAUGACUCCGUAACUUCGGGAGAAGGAGUGCCUUAUUUAUAAGGUUGCAAUAACAAGACCCAAGCAACUGUUUAUCAAAAACACAGGUCUCCGCUAAGUCGUAAGACGAUGUAUGGGGGCUGACGCCUGCCCAGUGCCAGAAGGUUAAAGAAGUUGGUUAGCAUUAGCGAAGCUGAUGACUGAAGCCCUGGUGAACGGCGGCCGUAACGAUAACGGUCCUAAGGUAGCGAAAUUCCUUGUCGGGUAAGUUCCGACCCGCACGAAAGGCGUAAUGAUUUGGGUACUGUCUCAGAGAGGGACUCGGUGAAAUAGACUUGUCUGUGAAGAUGCGGACUACCUGCACCUGGACAGAAAGACCCUAUGAAGCUUUACUGUAACCUGAAAUUGAAAUUGGACUUUAUUUGCGCAGUAUAGGUGGGAGGCUUUGAAGAUAUUCUUGCGGGAAUGUUGGAGCCAUCAGUGAGAUACCACUCUUGUAAUGUUAGAUUUCUAACUUUGUAUCAUUAUCUGGUCAAAGAACAGUUUCAGGCGGGCAGUUUGACUGGGGCGGUCGCCUCCUAAACGGUAACGGAGGCGCACAAAGGUUUCCUCUGAACGGGUAGAAAUCGUAUCUAGAGUGUAAAGGCAUAAGGAAGCUUGACUGUGAGACCUACAAGUCGAGCAGGGACGAAAGUCGGUCUUAGUGAUCUGACGGUGCUGAGUGGAAAGGCCGUCACUCAACGGAUAAAAGUUACUCUAAGGAUAACAGGCUGAUCUCCCCCAAGAGUUCACAUCGACGGGGAGGUUUGGCACCUCGAUGUCGGCUCAUCGCAUCCUGGGGCGGUAGUACGUCCCAAGGGUUGGGCUGUUCGCCCAUGAAAGCGGUACGCGAGCUGGGUUCAGAACGUCGUGAGACAGUUCGGUCCAUAUCCGGUGUAGGCGUUAGAAUAUUGAGAGGAGCCUUCUCUAGUACGAGAGGACCGAGAAGGACACACCUCUGGUGUACCAGUUAUCGUGCCAACGGUAAACGCUGGGUAGCUAUGUGUGGAGCGGAUAACCGCUGAAAGCAUCUAAGUGGGAAGCCCACCUCAAGAUAAGUAUUCUCAUC